AUGUGCUGGAAGCUCUCUUUGGGUUGCUAGGAAACGGGCUGACCUUUGCUGGGGUUGCUAGGUAACAUGCAGUGCCAGCUGACUUAUGACAUUACAUUCUGGAGGUUUUUAAAUGGCUCUUUUUCCUGACUUUAGCCAAACUGUAACUUCAGGACGAUGGAAGGUUUCAGACGCUCAGCCUGCAGUCUGAUGUCGACACUGCGGGUAUGAAAGAGGAGAAACACGAGGAGCGUCACGACCUGCAACAAACUGAGACAAACAGUUUCCAUAACAACAUGUCAAUAAUGAAGCCGCUUCACAACCAACGUUUCUGUUCUGGUUGACAGAGAGUUCAAGGGUCACCAGUCAGAUGUUUGGCUGUUUUUUUUUUUUUUUUUUUUUUGGGAUUUUUCCUUUUUGUUUCUCCUUUGUUCUUCCAGGUUAAAGGUCAUUGAUGCCACAUCUGCUCAGCUUUACAUGCCAGCUGUGUUUAGUGAUCAGACAUCAGGAUGGUUUCACCUCUGCAGCUGGAGGUGGACAGGAGGAUCACCGUGUGACUGGAUCAUAGACCAGAGGAACAUCAACAUGGAGAAAGAGAGGUGACUGUCUAAGAACCAGACCUUUGCCAGGAAACAAUCAAACCAGGUGGCCACAUCAUCCUCCAUGGAGAGGUUAAAGGGCAUCAGGCCUCAGGCAGUCAGGGCUGCCAGGGGCACCAGCUUAAAAGUUAGACAUCACCAAUAAAGAUCUGGGAAUGUUGAAGAAACCAGUCGCUGGCCCUAAAAGACUGAAAUAUUUCAAUAUUUGAGUCUUUUAGGAUAAAAGAACAAAAGUAGGAUCCUGAAGAUGCUCUGAUGGACUUCAGUCAGAACAACCCAGGAUGCAAAUGUCAUGUGGAAGGAGGCAAAGGAGGAGAUCCAUCAGGGAAACUAUUGGGAAGCUUAGCAGACAUGAUGACAGAACAAAGAACAGCAAGCUUACAGGAUCUGGAGGAAGAGCAGGUUCUGCCAAGUCCUGGAUUGAAACCACAUCCUGAAAUCUGCACCGUGAAGAGCUGCCACUACCAGAACCUACAUGACCAACUGGAUCCACCAGCAGAAGCAAACACCACUCAAGAUAUCGGACACAUUAUACAAACCAAGGGAGAUGAGGAGGAGACUGUGAGGCUGACCAGGGAUCCUCCGCAGGUGGUCUACGUAUUUCGCCAUCAUCAACAACGUUUCAUCAUUUCCUGCCACCAAUCCUGGAAUCUGUGCUGCAGAAAUCCACAGCUGAAGCAAACCAGGUCAGAAUGAAGAGCAGCAAACCCAUGGUCCCAUGAUCUGUGGAAGAUGUUGGGAGGUCACAGCUCUACCUUCUUACUGUCUUUAACCAGAUUGUUUCCAGGAACUAACCUCCCCAAACAAACAGUUUCCAUUGGAAAGGCAAAGGGGAACGUCACAGAGUGCACCUAGGCUGGUAAAACUCCUGAGUCACAGCACACCGCCUCCCUGCUGAGGGAGAAACAUCCAGAAUCAGCCAAGAAGCUCCACAUUCCUCCAGGCCACUAGGGGGAGUCUUGAGUAUGUAAUAUUACCUGUGUAAAUAUGCAGCUGUUCUAUAUUGUAAAAUACUUUAUAACACACAUUCUCUUUCUUCCUCCAGUCUUCUAAACAUCCUUUUAAAUCAUGACAUCCUGUUUGAUUUGGUUGUCGACUCCCCCUAGUGGUCUGGAGGACUUCUACUUUGUGGAUCAAGUUUCCAGGAUUUCAUAUGAUGUUACUGAUAUUUGCAGAAUUUUAUUUUUGGUUCCUGUUUGCAUCAUUCAUCUGUUUGCGGGAUGUUUGCUGUGUGAACAAACCAUCAUACAGAAGAGUUAAGGUUCAGCUCUUUACUCCUCAUUUCAGUGAAAAACAAAAGGAAGCAAGAUAACUGUAACUGUUUCACAGGGUUUGAACUGUUUCAUAUGUAGCUCUUCAUGCUCUAUGCAGCAGAAAAUAAUCAGACGUGUUGAUUUGGCUUCCUGUCUGCUGCAGGUAGUAACAGGCUGCGUCCUCCUGCAGCGCUGAGCUUCGGCUGACGGUUUGUUCAGUCAUUUAUUAGUUGUGCAGACAUGAAGCAACUCUUAAUUGACUGUGGCACCAGGAACUCCCCCCACCCCCACUACCAUGUGAACAUGUGCUUAAAGUUUAUUCAAUUCCUCUGGGAGCUCCUUCAGGUCAACUGUUACUGUGGAGCUAAAAACAGAAAAGAGGAAAACGAAAGAAAGGAACUGUGACAUUUUAUAACACAGUCAGUGAUGCACUGACUGGAAGAAACCAGAUUUUACUGAUUUUAGCCUCAAACUGAACCUGGAGAUCUGAGUAUAAAAUGUAAAUGAGACUGUUCAAAAACCCGCCUGAUUAACGCAGCGUUAUGAGUCUCUGGCUGUCAGAUGCUCCAGUUACUGUCUGUAACGUCUCUACACUUAUUGGCACCACUGACGCCCUCUGGUGGCCAGUCUGGGAACUCCAGUCUCCUUUCUUGAGCCAAUUUCAGCACAAUCAGCUCGUUUUGUCUGUGAACAAAUUAUUUAAAAUAUUUAUUUUAACUUAAAACAUUUAAAUAUUUAUUCUGCUCUCAGUCUCAAUGUAAAGGUGGAAAUAAUCAUAUCAACAGAUCUGAAUAAAUUUGCAGAAAAAACACUUUACAAAAAAGUGUUUUCAGUA